GAGGGGGGUCGAGGGAGAACCUGAAGGGGGCAGGGCAGAAGGGACCCCCGGAACCCUGCCGCCAUCAGAGAUCAAGUAUUUGGCAUCAGGGAUCUUCGGACCCAGCAGAAGGAUCAGCCACAAGGGAGGUGUCCUCCCUAGGAAGCCAACGAGAGAGUCACCUCCCCCACAUCGGGAGCAGGGACCCCUCAUGACGCCGCUGGCAACCAUAUCAGGCCCCUAGCCCCUCAGCCUCCUUCCGAUUGCCCUCCUCUUACUCUUUCCUCGUCUCUUGUGGCAUUUGUGCCUUUACUCCCGCCCUCUGAGCUCCAGCGCUCCUGUUACCACCCAAACGCCCCAGGGCUUAGCUGCCCUGACCCCCAUCCUGGGAUAUUUGCCAGAUCUCUGGGAGGGAGAUCAUUUGUUUGGGCUAUGCCCCCUGGUGGCCUGACAGUAUCUGCCUAGACCCCUGACCCCUAGCCCUCAACUCCCCAGGCCUCCUUUGUGUGAAGAGCCCUCCUCUGAUCAGCACUGUGGUUGGGGGCCAAAGGGAAAGCCGGCCCUGCUGGGCCCCUGGGCCCCACCACCUGCCUCCUUGUUGGGCAGCUUCCCUUGUCUUUGGGCCUCUCCCUGCUCCCCCCUGGCCCCUCCUCCUGGGCCGCCCCAAUGAAGGAGCCGGAUGCCAUCAAGCUGUUUGUGGGGCAGAUCCCGAGGCAUCUGGAGGAAAAGGACCUGAAGCCCAUCUUCGAGCAGUUUGGUCGGAUCUUCGAGCUGACUGUCAUCAAGGACAAGUACACCGGGCUGCACAAGGGAUGUGCCUUCCUGACAUACUGUGCCCGCGAUUCAGCCCUGAAGGCCCAGAGUGCCCUGCACGAACAGAAGACUCUCCCAGGGAUGAACAGGCCGAUCCAGGUCAAGCCGGCCGACAGCGAGAGUCGAGGAGAAGACCGGAAGCUCUUUGUGGGGAUGCUAGGAAAGCAGCAGACAGAUGAGGACGUCCGGAAGAUGUUUGAACCAUUUGGGACCAUAGACGAGUGCACUGUGCUUCGGGGGCCAGAUGGGACCAGCAAAGGCUGUGCCUUCGUGAAGUUCCAGACUCAUGCCGAGGCCCAGGCAGCCAUCAACACCCUUCACAGCAGCCGGACCCUGCCGGGUGCCUCAUCCAGCCUGGUGGUAAAGUUUGCUGACACAGAGAAGGAGCGAGGUCUCCGCCGAAUGCAGCAGGUGGCUACCCAACUGGGCAUGUUCAGCCCUAUUGCCCUCCAGUUUGGAGCCUACAGCGCCUACACCCAGGCCCUGAUGCAGCAGCAGGCAGCGCUGGUAGCAGCUCACAGUGCCUACCUCAGCCCUAUGGCCACCAUGGCUGCUGUACAGAUGCAGCACAUGGCUGCCAUCAAUGGCAAUGGCCUCAUCGCCACCCCUAUCACUCCAUCCUCAGGAACCAGCACCCCUCCUGCCAUUGCUGCCACGCCUGUCUCUGCCAUCCCUGCUGCCUUGGGCGUCAACGGCUACAGCCCGGUGCCCACCCAGCCCGCAGGGCAGCCUGCCCCUGAUGCUCUGUAUCCCAACGGGGUUCACCCUUACCCAGCUCAGAGCCCUGCUGCCCCUGUGGACCCUCUCCAGCAGGCCUAUGCGGGAAUGCAGCAGUACACAGCAGCCUAUCCUGCAGCCUACAGCCUGGUUGCACCUGCGUUCCCGCAGCCUCCAGCCCUGGUCGCCCAGCAGCCCCCACCACCACCUCAGCAACAGCAGCAGCAGCAGCAGCAACAACAACAACAGCAACAGCAACAACGGGAAGGCCCUGAUGGCUGCAACAUCUUCAUCUACCACCUGCCCCAGGAGUUCACGGACUCAGAGAUCCUUCAGAUGUUUGUCCCUUUUGGUCACGUCAUCUCAGCCAAAGUCUUUGUUGACCGGGCCACCAACCAGAGCAAAUGUUUUGGCUUUGUGAGUUUCGACAAUCCAGCCAGUGCCCAGGCUGCCAUCCAGGCUAUGAAUGGCUUCCAGAUUGGCAUGAAGCGCCUCAAAGUCCAGCUAAAGCGGCCUAAGGAUGCAAACAGGCCCUACUAAGGGCUUCAGGUGGGUGCUGCUUUGUCCUGUGACCUCAUCUCCAGACUCCACACACUGGGGCCAGACCCCUUAAGUGAACCCCCCACCCUUCUUCCACUACCGACCCACCAUGAUGCUGAGCAAAAGAAAGUGGGAUCUGGGCCACUCCCUCAGCUACUAAGUCAUUUGUGCCUCCUGCAAGCACGCACACACACACAUACACACCCAUGCGUGAGCAUGUGUGCACACAAACACACCACCCCAGGGAGAGCCAAGUCUACACCUGUGUCUGCUCCCAGAGUUUUCCACAGAAUCUGGUCUUGUUUGUCUGGUCAGUGUCUGUGUGUCUAUGUCUUUCUCUUUUCUGGUUUUCCUUUGGGUUGGAUGUAAUUAGUGAAGUAGGUUUGGGGGGGGGCAGGAGGCUGCUUUAGAGAACUGGAGGGUCACAGAGCCUCUUGGCUCGGAAACCUUGUCUCCCAAGAAGUGGGGACACUCAGGUCCUGUUGCCUGUUGCCCUAACUGCAGGUGAUUUUCCCAGGGCAGUGGACUCUGGGGCAGAACACAGCACAGAUGGGAGUGGGUGUGGCUUGGCUUAGUGGAGAAAGUGGAAUAGCACCGACCUGGGAUUUGUACUGAGUAGAGCCCCUCCACCCCAGUGAGGCUGCCGUUCAGACUUGGGGCACAGAGCUGUGAACCCUGGCUACUUUUGAUUUGUUUAAUCUCCUUUGGACCAAACCUUGAAAAAAAUCACAACCCAAGAACAAUACCCACAUUUCUGUUUCUCCCCUUUCCCUUCAAUCCUGGCUGCUUAACUCCCCCCACCCUGGGGGCCCCCAGCCCAGGGUCCGUGUCCAUUGUCGGCUGAAGCCCCCAUCCCGGACCCCUGCUCCGGGCCCCUGUCUGGAGAUACCAGAGGAAGGGCACUCUCUUCCCAUGACUGGCCCCGGCCUUCUCUGCACAUCUGCCCUGGGCCUUGAUUGGACUCUGGGGCAAAAGCUGCUUCAUGGCCCUAAAGGUCCAGGACCUGGCUCACUCCCUCCACCUUGCCUCUCUGAAGGGCCAUGGUUUUGCUUCCCUGGCUCCAAGAGCCUAUUUCCUCCCCAGUGCCCUUUUGGCCUUUGUGAGGAAGCAAGGAAUAGGCUUGGAGGCCCAGGGCUAUCUGCCUUCUGCUAAGGCUCCAGAGUCGGGCCUCUGCACCCACCGUUCGCACUUGUCUCCCCUUAGUGGGCCUGGAGUAGCUGUGCCCCCCUGAGGGCAGCCAGGCAUCCGCUCUCCCAAGCUUUCUCACCCCAGCCUCCUCCCCACUGUAGGGGCUUCUCAGAAGCUGGCUCUCACUUCUCCCUCCACCCUCAGCUAGAGGUAGGAUAUCUCCAAAUCCCAGGCUCCUAGUCCUAACACUCAUUGCCUCCCCCAAGAGCCCCUCAAAGGAGGGUGUCGGGGAGCCCUGAGGGCUGCCUCUCUGCCAGCCAGUCACAGAGACCCUCCUUUCAUGAGGAAAAGACCUUCCCUGAAUCCCUAAAAUGUUUACAGUCUCUGCUGGCCUCCAUGUGAGUACCAGGACCACCAAGGCCUCACCCAGCCCAACCAGCCAGGCGCUGCCACCCUCUUUCUGGGAGUUUAGACAAUGUUGCCCUUGGAUUUUUUUUUCCUCUCUCUUGAUUUCUCCCUUUGCUUUGGGGGUAAUUGGGUAUUUGGGAGGAAGGGUGUGGGGAGGGGUUAAAGGGGUUUAUUACCUGAUCAUUUUCUUUAGGAAGAAGUUUUAGGAAAAAGAACACGGGUGGGGGUGGGAUGGUAGCGGGCAAGAAGGGGAGUCAAUUUUUGACACUCUAUGCUUUACUUAUUUAUUUAUUCAGUUUUACUUUUGAAAAGUUGGUCUUUUCUGUCUAAAUAAAGAAAGAAGUUUAAAAGCACCCAAUAUGAGUCUUGGAAGGUUGAGAGUAGGGCGUUCACAUUGGGGAGGGGGAGGGAG